rnacentral:misc_RNA from 1 species
UAGCAUUCCAUGUAGACUCUUGGCACUGCAUGGUCGAAACCAAAACAACACCAAUUGUCGUUCACACAUGGCGUGGGACGCCUCUUAGGGGCAAAUAGAGACCGAUGAUGCCUCGUACCCGCGAGGUAUUCAAAUGACCGUGAGAACGAACGUCAUGCCACCCAUCCAACAACCCAAGAACAUCGAAGAAAUCGGGGGUUGGAUCUUGGCAUUUGCUUCGAAGUUCACCUCGUACCGCUAGUAGCAACUUAAGGCGAAAGGGGCAUC